CCGAGUAUAGGGGCCUCCCUCGUGGAGGUCUCGAACUCCCACCCCGUGCUUACGUACCUCUGUUGCCUCGGCGGGCCCCGUGGGGGACUCUCGAGUCCCCCGCAUCCGGCCCUGCGCUGGACAGCGCCCGCCAGAGGACCAACCAAACUCGAUUUUUACCAGCAGUCUGAGUAUUAUAACAAAUAAGUUA
rnacentral:misc_RNA from 1 species